GAUGAACGCUGGCGGCGUGCCUAAUACAUGCAAGUCGAGCGAACGGACGAGAAGCUUGCUUCUCUGAUGUUAGCGGCGGACGUGUGAGUAACACGUGGAUAACCUACCUAUAAGACUGGGAUAACUUCGGGAAACCGGAGCUAAUACCGGAUAAUAUUUUGAACCGCAUGGUUCAAAAGUGAAAGACGGUCUUGCUGUCACUUAUAGAUGGAUCCGCGCUGCAUUAGCUAGUUGGUAAGGUAACGGCUUACCAAGGCAACGAUGCAUAGCCGACCUGAGAGGGUGAUCGGCCACACUGGAACUGAGACACGGUCCAGACUCCUACGGGAGGCAGCAGUAGGGAAUCUUCCGCAAUGGGCGAAAGCCUGACGUAGCAACGCCGCGUGAGUGAUGAAGGUCUUCGGAUCGUAAAACUCUGUUAUUAGGGAAGAACAUAUGUGUAAGUAACUGUGCACAUCUUGACGGUACCUAAUCAGAAAGCCACGGCUAACUACGUG
rnacentral:rRNA from 1 species